UGGCAACUUUCAUAGGUACUAGUUCGUUUUUUUUUAGCAUUAGAAAAAGACUACGCGAUCUUGAUAUGUCUUUUAAUUGGAAAACGCUUUUUAUAAAUCAGUAACUAUUACUUAUGAAAGCAAAAUAAUGUAAAUAAUCGUAUAUGAUUCAUGAUGGUUACAUAUUUGCCGUGACUUAUUUUACAAAAGUGUUUUUCAAUAAAAAGACACGUCAAGAUUGUUUACCUUUUUUCUAAUGCUAAAAAACCGAACUAUAUAAGUUCAUAAUAGUUACAGUAAUUCGCAAAAAGAUAACGAGGCCUGCUAAGGCCGUAGCCUUAAUAAAUAUAACUAUAACAUGUUAGACAUUAAAGUUGUAAAUUUUUAUCGAAUGUUAGACUGAUCUUUAAAAAAUAUACGAUCAUUAAGAUAUUUGUAAAUUUCAUAGAAAAUCUUUUUUAAGAGUAGAAUUUCAUUUUAACCUUAUUGUAAGGUAGAAGCCGAUGUGUAAAAUUUUCUAUUUGAUCUUCUAUUGAGCAAACAUAAUUUAAUUGAAUACUCAUUGCCAUAAGUGCUACGGGUUACGCUCGUAGCGCAUAGCCACGGAUUCGCCGUAUGUAGCGCGUAGUCGCUACGAACAGUGUACCCAACAGUCGAGUUCUUGGCCUUAAUGUGUUAACCAUAGGUAUAGCAAUAUCAAGAGUUCUGAACUAGAGACUAGUGCCAUUGCUAAAGGGUUACACAACAUAAUUACUUAAUAUUAGAAAAUCAAAUCGAAAAUUAUGAUAUUUCAUGGGCUGCCACCCUAUCUAAAAGCAGCUGACCUACCAAUGACGAGGAAAUGACUAGCAAUCAAAAAUUCCGUGUCAUAAAAAGAAUUGAUUAUAAUAUGUACUAAUCUAUGGUAAUAAAAUAAAAUAAAAAAACUUGCCAAGAAAAACCAUCACUACUUGCUUCAUGCAUAUUGCCACUGGUCGGACAGCUGCUUAAGAAAGUAGUAUCAUUCUCUGUCCACUUUACUCCUAAUUAUUUCAUACUUUAACAGGGGCUUGAAAUAAUGUAUGCUUUAGAUUUACUAAUACAAAAAGGCAGUCAGAUCACUAGUUGGAAAAUAUCAUGGUUUAUAUUGGUAGCUUGGCUGUGGAUAGAUGAAAUGUGUUUCUUACAAAAUUCACUAAGGCCCACUUGCACCAUUCCACUAACCCGGGUUAACCGGUUAAACCUGGCGUUACCAUGGUGUUCAGUACAAUUUGACACCGGGUUAACGGUUUAACCGCUUAACCUCGGGUUAGUUGGAUGGUGCAAGUGGACGUAAUGCAAUGGCGAAACAGUGGUUAACCGAGCUUCUAAGGGUGCAAGGUUACCAUGCUUAAUUCUCAGGAGUCUAAAUUUUAUUCUCUUUGCCACUAAAGCCUCAAGGGGUUAAUUAAGCCAAUAAUAACUGUAAUAAUUUAUUAAUAUAUACAACACAACUGUUAAUCAAACUACGACAUACAAAAUAAUUAAUCUGAGACAUACAUUAUCUCAACAAUAAUUUUAUUAAAUUAAUGUUACGAAUGUACACACCUACUUACGGGGAUAGAAUUAAGUAAUAUACCUCAAUUUGCUCACGGACUUGCUUAACGACGGAAUCUGUGUAGCUAAAUGUAAAAUGAUAAGGAUUUUGUAAAUAUUGUGUAUGUAGAAAAGAAAAUCUUAUUUGUAAAUUAAAUUCAUAUGUUUAAUGGCAAUGUGUCGAUGUAAUACACUUAUGAUGAUAAAUAAAUAUGGUAAAAUAA